rnacentral:rRNA from 1 species
GAUGAACGCUGGCGGCGUGCCUAAUACAUGCAAGUCGAGCGAACGGACGAGAAGCUUGCUUCUCUGAUGUUAGCGGCGGACGGGUGAGUAACACGUGGAUAACCUACCUAUAAGACUGGGAUAACUUCGGGAAACCGGAGCUAAUACUGGAUGAUAUUUUGAACCGCAUGGUUCAAAAGUGAAAGACGGUCUUGCUGUCACUUAUAGAUGGAUCCGCGCUGCAUUAGCUAGUUGGUAAGGUAACGGCUUACCAAGGCAACGAUGCAUAGCCGACCUGAGAGGGUGAUCGGCCACACUGGAACUGAGACACGGUCCAGACUCCUACGGGAGGCAGCAGUAGGGAAUCUUCCGCAAUGGGCGAAAGCCUGACGGAGCAACGCCGCGUGAGUGAUGAAGGUCUUCGGAUCGUAAAACUCUGUUAUUAGGGAAGAACAUAUGUGUAAGUAACUGUGCACAUCUUGACGGUACCUAAUCAGAAAGCCACGGCUAACUACGUG